rnacentral:rRNA from 1 species
AUACGGAGGGUGCAAGCGUUAUCCGGAAUCAUUGGGUUUAAAGGGUCCGUAGGCGGACUAUUAAGUCAGAGGUGAAAUCCCGCAGCUCAACUGUGGAACUGCCUUUGAUACUGGUAGUCUUGAGUUAUAUGGAAGUAGAUAGAAUGUGUAGUGUAGCGGUGAAAUGCAUAGAUAUUACACAGAAUACCGAUUGCGAAGGCAGUCUACUACGUAUAUACUGACGCUAAGGGACGAAAGCGUGGGGAGCGAACAGGAUUAGAAACCCUAGUAGUCC